CAGAAAUGAGGAUGAGGAUGGGGAUGCUGAAUCUAGUAAUGGACUCUGCUCAUUGAUGAGAUUUGCUUAUUUAGAACUGGACAAGGGCCAGCUAGCAAGCUUGCUAGCCAUUGUGGCUAUGGUAGCAAACAAAACAGCAGCAUCCCUAUGGAAGUACAACUCCACUCCCUGAUGUGGGAGAGUGAAGAAGAAGGAGAUGAUCUGUUCCAUAAACUGAGAGAGGAGAGAAAUUAUCAUGAGAUAGUGAUGAGAGAAAAAUCUAGGGCUUUUCACAAUCUGCCCUUGCUCAAGAUGAUGACAGCUUGAGAAGAUUUUGUUCCCUUUCUUUUUUGAUGGACGCCCUCCCCCCACUCCCUCCCUAUCCCAGUGAAUCAGACCACCUGACAGC
rnacentral:lncRNA from 1 species